UACGGAGGAUGCGAGCGUUAUCCGGAUUUAUUGGGUUUAAAGGGUGCGUAGGCGGAGUGUCAAGUCAGCGGUAAAAUUUCGGGGCUCAACCUCGUCGAGCCGUUGAAACUGGGUGCCUUGAGUGGGCGAGAAGUAAGCGGAAUGCGUGGUGUAGCGGUGAAAUGCAUAGAUAUCACGCAGAACGCCGAUUGCGAAGGCAGCAUACCGGCGCUCAACUGACGCUCAUGCACGAAAGCGUGGGUAUCGAACAGG
rnacentral:rRNA from 1 species